rnacentral:rRNA from 1 species
CCUACGGGUGGCAGCAGUAGUGAAUAUUGCUCCAUGGGGGAAACCCUGAAGCAGCAACGCCGCGUGGAGGAUGACGGCCCUACGGGUUGUAAACUGCUUUUAUACGGGAAUCACGCGCCUUACGUGUAGGGCUUUGCAUGUACCGUAUGAAUAAGGACCGGCUAAUUCCGUGCCAGCAGCCGCGUUAAUACGGAAGGUCCGGGCUUUAGCCGGAUUUAUUGGGUUUAAGGGGCGCGUCGGCCGCAUGUCAAGCGUGCUGUGAAAUGUCCGGGCUCAACCCGGGCCUUGCAGCGCGAACUGGCGUGCUUGAGUCCGCGGAAAGCAGGCGGAAUUCGUCGUGUAGCGGUGAAAUGCUUAGAUAUGACGAAGAACCCCGAUUGCGAAGGCAGCUUGCUGCAGCGGAACUGACGCUGAUGCUCGAAAGCGCGGGUAUCGAACAGGAUUAGAUACCCCAGUAGUC